UCAAGUGGGAAGCCUGGCGCUCAGGCGGGGAAGCCGCCACUGGCUCAGCAGCACGCACAAGCAGAGGCUGCCCCCACGUGUCCUUGUCAAGCCCUCCCCGCCCCCGUAAGGAGAAACUGCCUUGAGGAGGGUUUCCCUUCAGGUCUAUCCACGGCUUGUUGGACCCUGACGCUCUGCUUCCUCAUGAGGAUGUGCACAGCAAACCGAGUCUAACAGACUGUGAGAUGGAAACCUUCUCCUUCCCACCGAAGAGCACUGUGAGUUGCAGACUGCAGAAUCCUGGAAGACGAGUGUUCAAAUCCUGGCGCGGAUUCCCUGGGCACCCCCGCUGGAGGGAGGCGUAUCUAGGAGGAUUUUGCCACGGCCACUGCCCUAUCAUUCUGUAGGAGAAUCCAGAGUUCACAGAGUGAGGACAAGCUCACAGUGAGGACGAUGGCCUAUUCACUAGUGUGGUUUGGAAGACUGAAGUGGAAACUGUGAGAAUACGUCCUCAUAAAAACUCAAAACUGUGUGGACUGGACUGUGUCCUCCGUCUUUGGAAAGGCGGGGUCAUUCUGAAUGCAAACUGCUUGCUGUGGCUCAUACCGAAACCGAUUCUUUAGGAAGUGUGGACCAGCUCGUGGCAGAAUGUCCUCCCUGAGCGCUUUAUUUGGGGGCCUCAGACAGUUAGCUGAGUCAGGGAGAGGAACUCCGACUCCGCAGACAUUGACCGUGGUCUGCUCCGCCACAAAAUGCUCUGAAACCUGGACGUGUGCAGCGCGGCGGAAGAAAAGACUCAUGGCAAAGGAUCCCCCUCUGU